GUUGCAUCCUGUGAAGCCCCUGCCCUCGCUCUGCCCGUAGUUGCCGUCGGGCCCUGCGACUGGGAGAGGAGGAGGAAGGGGACGGAAUGUGGGAAGCGGGAUUUUGCAGAGGGCACAGCCCAGCCACUAUGACAGAGUUGCCCUGGAGAGGACUGAAGGGGUUUGAGGACUUCAGAGCCAUACUACAGAUAUCCUUCAUGUCAAAUAAAGGAGCAACUUCAUCAGAAAACAUGAAGGUCAGCAUCUGGCAAGGGGCAUAUGUGAUGAAGAUGCUGUGCCUAGCGGUGCUUAAGGUAUAAAUCCAGUCCUGCUCAUGAUUUACAGUUUCAGCCAACUACCUUCAGGGUCCAGGAAGGGAUUCUUCUCUCUACCCCAAUGUAUUCUGCGUUUGGUUUUGGUGAUAUUUGGUUGGUGGUGGGGUGGAAUUGUUUGUUGUUUUGUUUUAAAUCUACUUCCAGGGUUAGCCAUGGAUAAAGAUGGCACAUAGAAUCAUAGGGUUGAAAGAGAUCUCUGGAGGUCAUAGAG